AGUCUGGGCUUUCCGAGGACGGCGAGCAGCUGUGCCCAGAGCUCUGGGAAAGUCCCCUCUCUUUGCUUCUUAUAAAUUAAGUUCCUUUCCACCAGUUAGGGCAAGUCCGCCAAGAUAGACUGAAGAGGAGCAAGAACAGAAACAGGGAGCCAGUUACAGAUCUAUCCCAAGAAUUCUGGGGAGAGAUGAUGGUGUCUGCAGCAGAGUGACAGCAGUGGAGAUUGAGAGAAAAGAGCACUGAUGGAAUUGGAUGUACUCUUCAUGCCUAAUGGCUCAUGAGAAAAUUAAAUAACCAGGCAGUUUCCUGCCUGCUCCAGAAGACUUGUGCCACAGAAGACAGAGGCUGAUACAACUCAGUGGCCUCUGCCUCAAGGGAUAAAGAGAAGAGUAAAGAGUUGAAAAUGGUUGCUUGUGUUCAACUACUGUGAAGAGUUGGAAUCAGACAACUACGGCUUUGAUUUUCCAAGUGGUUCAGAAUGUAAAUAUGAUCUGACCUUU
rnacentral:lncRNA from 1 species